UUCAGCAUCCGGACGUUCGCCAAUUUUCGCCUCCCACGUCUCACCGAGCGUGGUGUUUACGAAGGUUUUACGUUUUCCCGUAUCCCCUUUCGUUUUCAUCCAGUCUUUGACAAUCUGCACCCAGGUGGUGAACGGGCUGUACGCUGUCCAGAUGUGAAAGGUCACACUGUCAGGUGGCUCAAUCUCUUCACCGGAUGACGAAAACCAGAGAAUGCCAUCACGGGUCCAGAUCCCGGUCUUUUCGCAGAUAUAACGGGCAUCAGUAAAGUCCAGCUCCUGCUGGCGGAUGACGCAGGCAUUAUGCUCGCAGAGAUAAAACACGCUGGAGGGGUCAUCCGGCGUCCAUUUGAGGCCAAACGGCGUCUCUUUGUCGCCAAAUUUAAGAUACUGCUCCUCCCCGCAAUG
rnacentral:rRNA from 1 species